rnacentral:lncRNA from 7 species
ACCGACGCCUUCAUCGCGUGAGCUUGCGCCGCACAGAUAGAAUAGAGAGAGAGAGAGAGAGAGAGAGCAUACGGGUGCGCCGCCGCGCCUCCUACUCGUUGCCAGCGCCGUCUGGGGCCUGGGCGGAGGUUACCCAGUCUUAUCGAAGGUGUGGGAACCGUGGGCGAGCGGAGAAACCAAUCGAGGCGGGCGGAACUCAUUGCCGUAAUUGAAGAUUCGUCGUGGGCCACACCAUUACGCGGGCAGGGUCACUGGUGCUCAAUACCGAGACGAGCAAGCCACCGAGGACCCCGGUACUCAGCAGGUGGAUAAUUCUGAGCAGGAACUCAUUGAAGGUGAAGAGCAGAUAGUCCAGGAGGAGGUCUACAACGAGGAGUAUGAGCUUAUCUAGGUGGCGUCUCCUAGUCAGCUUCAUGGCGCCAAGGAAUAAUUAUUAGUUCACUUUAUUGUUAUCAUUUAUUUUUGUAAGACACUUCCGCUAUGUAAUAAUGAUUAUGACAUUUAUCUCUAUGCACUUGGUCAUUAU